UUUAGUUGUAACAGAGUUCAGUUGAAUAAUAAACGGAUAUAAGAUAAUGUGUAGUAAGUUUCAUUCCAAAUUGAAUGACCCAAUUUAUAUCAAGUUAUAUAAAUAUUUCAAUUAAAUAUCGACAGAUAUUUAACAUAAGUAUAUUGCGAUUGCUUUAAAUAUUUUCCAUAAGUGGUUUUUUGACGUGAUAUCUGUACAUAGUUCUUUACAUGCUUUUUUACUGACAUUGAUUCUUGCAGUUUUAUUCAUGAUAAUCCUGAAAUUUAGUAUUUGAAUCUGUCUUCAUCCGACAAUCCUUUCAUUCAAUAAUCCUAUUGUUUAAUUUUUGAAAUAGUAUAUUUUUACUAUCAUCUGUGAGUGAUUUUGAUAUGAGAUCUAAUGGUGAAAACAAAUCUUUAUAACACAAUUUUGUUCUUUAUGAUCCAUGGUACAUUUAUAUGAAACAACCUACGUACAGGUUAAUACUUCUGUGAAAAUUCUUUAUUUUUUUCGUUUAUCUACUGUGUUUUUUUUUAAAUGGAAAUGAUAAAUGAAUAAUCUAUUAUUAUAACUUUUUCAUCAUAUCAUUAAAAUAAUAAUAACUAAAAUAUAAACAUAAGUAUGAAAAAGAAGAAGAAUAUGAAAUAUCAAAACAAGAAGUUCCAUAGGCAUGAACUCGUUGAGGCAUAGAGUCAAGUAAAGUCAGAAAGAGUAUAUAAACUCAGAGAUGUUUUCAAAGCCAUCAUAAUGUUUUGAGCUUUCGAGUGCAGAGGUGUUUUUGUGUAGUAGUGACUUUGAAUUUAAAAUUCUAUAUUCAAUAUGUCUUUUCGAUUUUUGGACAUAGAAGCGGAAGUUAGCAGUGAGGAUGAAUUUGAGAUCCAGAAUUCAGACGAUAAACGUAAAAAAAAAACAAAAAGUGGUAGAUAGUUCCGAGGAAGAGGAAGAUGAUGAUGAAAUGUUGAGAGAAGAAAUCAAAGACCUUAUUGAUGACGACUCUCUCAGUGAUAGUGAUGAUUCGAUAUUUCUGGUGGUAAAAAAAGAAAGAGAUCAGAUGAUGAAGAAUUAGAUGAUCGACAUGAAGACGAUGAUUUCGACCUCAUCGAAGAAAAUUUGGGCGUUAAGAUUGAUCGAAAAAGGAAAUUCAAACGUAUAAGGAAAAUAAUAGCGAAUGAAAGUAAAGGGCAACAAAGGAGAACAACAAUGGACAUAGAUUCGUCCUCAGAUGAGGAUGACGAGGAAAAAUCCGAGGAAAAAACGGAGCUAGUCCAAAGAGAUGUGUCUGAUUCGGAAACGGAAGCAACAGAUGAUGAUUUCAUUAAUGAUGAUAUCAUUGAUGAUGAACUUCCAAUUGGUGCCAGAAAAAGGAAUAGGAGAGUCGUUUCUUCUAAUAUAUGACUACACUAAGGAUUUCGAAUAUCCCCCAACGAAAUAAUCGACAGGAUUGAAAUCCGGUUAUCUAGCGAGCAAGGUAUGCUGUCCACCACUGCCUAUCCACAUAUUUGGAAAGUUCUGGUCCAAAAAGUUCUUGAAGGUAACUCUAAAAUGAGGUGGAGCCCCUUCAUGAUUAAAAUACAUCCCUGCAAUGUCCAUAUAAUCGAGUAAUGCAGGUAGAUGAUUUUGAAGAAAAUCACCCGUAAGCUGUCUUGGUAGGAUGUGUGGCCCAAUCAAUCGAUUCUUAUAAACUCUACACCAUACGUUGGUUCUUUGAAAAUUCGUGUUGGGAUUUGGUGUACCUGAUUGCAUGAGGAUUUUCUUCAGCCCACUCAUGCGAAAUCCACAGAUUGAAGACGCCAUCUCUCGUGAAAAUGGCUUCAUCAGUAAAUAAAAUUCUAUUGAUUAUUCUUUCAUUUCUUAAAAUCCACCGACUAAAAUGAAUUCUAUUAAUUUCGUCACCUGACACCAAUCGUUGUAUUUUCUGGAGAUGAAAAGGGUAAAGGUUAUUUUUCUUUAAUCUACUCCAUACAUGCGGCACGUUCAGAGCAUGAGCAAUCCUUCUAGUGCUAUUUUCUGGAUGUGUCUCUAUCACUUCAAGAAUUUCUUCAUCGAUAUUGAGGUUCCUUCUUUCUUCAAUUUUGAUGUUGAGAACUGGCCAUUUUCACGAAUAUAAUUGAAAACUGAUGAAAAAGUUUUGUGAUGUGGUAACCUUCUAUUAGGGAAUCUUGAUUGGCAUUCCCUUACAGCCGCUCUACCAUUACCGUCACAAUAACUAUACACUAACAACAUAUCAGCAUAUUCUUUGAUUCAAGAAUUUAUGAGGGAUUAUUAUGUUGGGUUUUAAUAUCGAGAACAAACCACAAUACCUCAAAAAAAUGUCUGUACCAGUUGCAGUUGUCAAAUUUAAUGUCAUAGAUAUUGUUGUAGCCUACUCGAAUAAACUCUUGGGGGAUGUGAUGCAAAAUAAUUUCUCAAAAUUUUAUAAUUCGAUGAAAAAUUGUCAGGAUAUACAUCUGAUUGAAUAUUGUAUGUAUUCAAUUAGCGAAACAAGAAAUGUUUACAAUUUAAUCUCAAUGUUCGAUAUUUUCACUAUUGAACUCAAUUUUUGGCCGAAAUUGUUAAUUGUUAAUUGAAUAAAAUCCACUGAAAUCCAUUGAAAAAUUUCCACUAUACCGGGUGUUGAAUCAUAGCUUGUGAAAAGUCCCAAAUUUUUCUAACACGAACCUGAUUUUUUCGAUCAGUUUGAAGAUUAAUCGAUGGACCUAAUAGAGUGAAAUAUAUGUUCCAAAUAUCGAUCAAAUCUACUGGGUGGUUCAAAAGUUAUAAGGAAUUGAAAAUAUUGGUGAAUUCAUAAACCAUCGUGUAUUUUGCUUAUGGGACAUAAUAAUUAUAAUUUUGACAGUGUGAGUUCAGUUUAGUCAAUUGAAUUCUUAAGUUCUCACUGUGUUUUAUUAAAUAACUGUAGAAAUCUCAUCCUUCUAACGCCAUCUCGAGGAACCCGAUCGAACGUAUACAACGCCAGAUACCAUAGACCUAUAAUAAGAUA